ACUUAUGAAAGCAGGGAGUGUCGGUGGCCAGCCGCGACAUCCACGUCGACGACAAUGUUUUGCGCCGUCCGAUGCGAAUCGCAUGGCUCUUCUGCUUCCCGCCGCGCGCCGGGCUGGCGCCUAAUCGCUGGUUGUUGCUCCCCUAUGGUGAAACCUCUAGAACCAGCUGGUGGAAGCCACCCGUACGCGCGUGCUUGGCUCGGGAGAAAAGAAACCGCGCCCCUAAAAAAUAUCGCCGCCCUCGUCUGGAAGCCUCGAUGCCCCCUCGCCUCCGACUUCCAUCGCCCGAGCGCCGCUUCAUUCCCUCUCCUACCCACGCCAUCGCCGCCGCCGCCUCCCGUCCCGUGGCCGCCUCACCCGGCUGUCUCCCGCUCCGCAGUGUGCCACGCCUGCUGGUGUGACCCGCUUUCCGCGGCACUCCCCCCCUAAGCGCCGUACCCUUCCAGCACACAGAUGCGCCAGCCACCCGCGACGCUCGCUGGCAACCGCGGCUGCGUGCCAUCGACCAGCCACCAGCUGAUCGUCUCCCACGGCUGGUCCACCGCCAUCCGCUGUCCGCCGCGCUGGCACGGGCGCGACUGUCGGUGUUGAGCGCCUCCGCGUGGUCCCGCCCCUUGGGUGGCAGCCGCACCCAAAUAAACCAAGCACCUCAACACAUGGUGCCAUGGAUUGCCGUCGCCACCGGAUCUGGCGCCUCUGGCCCAUGCCCCCAACGCGUUCGUCGUCGGAUGAGCUCGAGGGGCUCUUCAUUGGCUGCCACCACUACUUCCUCGUGGGAGUCGUGGCCGCUCGAGCGGCGCGGUAAGGGCACCGAGAUCGACCUCGCCAUGACCCUCGGCCCUCUCCAUCCCCUUCCUCGAGCACGCUGUCGUUGUCAUGCCGCUACAUCUGCUGCCUCCUCUCCCUGGAGGAUGUCUGCUUCGAUUGGGUGGAAAUGUAGGACUGGAGGCAGUGACUCGCUACCAUGUAUAGCAUGCAAGAGAAAGGGAGGAGCUGCCCUUGCAUCGAUGGAGCUGCUAGCUAUGGGGUGCAGACGAGAAGCCUGUGUUUUAAGCGGCGGUAGUGGAAGGACUAAACAUUGGUCCCAUUCUUAAUUUCUUGCAUCUUGUCCUGAAUAAUCCAUUCUUUUGUCUGUGCUUUGCCAGAUUUUAUUGAUAUAAAUGGAUAGAACAUGUGAUGGUGUGUUCUAUCUGCCAUCUAUAAUACCAAUAGAAAUCCCAAGGUAAAUGACUCGAUGCUGUUUUAUAAAUGACUUUGUUUUAAGAUAAUUCUGCAAACAAGGUUUGAUUUGUAGCUUUUCGCAUGUGAAUUUUCUUUCCCGUGUGCCCAUUUGUUGCUUAUGUAAAAUAGUUGAAAGUCAAAUUGUCAAAAAUGGUUGUGUGUAAAAAUAGCGGUAUGGGACCUGCAGUAUUUAUCCUGUAUCCAUGGACUAAACUUUAAACACCAAAAGGUUUAUCAGUUCUUACUGAUAAAUUGAUUUUUGUUUUUCUGAAUAGGCUACAAAGUUGAUUCAGACAAAGAAACAUGAAUGGUCUGUGGCAGUGUGAAAGCAUAUGUUUCUCUAUUAAAAAAGGAGAGAUGUGUGCCAAUUACGCACAGCAGUUCAGGUUAACGCACUUCUCAGUGAGAGAUGUUCAGAGUGGACCAUAUAGGAAGAGCCUGCCCUUAUUUAAAAUUUUCACCCUAUUGUUUUGGGUCAUUGCUACCUGCAAGUGUUAAAAGAGCUUAUAAAGCUAACUUGAACCAAACAUCUGGCCAUGGCAUGAUCUAGGGAACUCAUGUGUGAUUCUUGCCCUUUCUAAUCUCUGCUGCUUUUAUUCUUGAGUAUCAUCAAUUGAAGUCAUAGACGAUUUAGUUUGUUCAUUUCAGGUGUUGAUACUGCGAGUGCAUAACAUAAUUAGGGUUAACAAAGUAUUGUGGUCUUACAACAUUUAGUUUUUAGGUGUUUGACUGACAAUACAUUUCUUCUUGCUGUCCAACCAACGAAGGAUAAAGUGAAUUAGUGCGGUUGUGCCAUUCGAAACCCAUUCUGAUUUUUUGCUCAAUUAAGAUGUGCUAUGGUACCUUCGGGUUUAAUGAGUUGAGCAAGCUAAUUUGAUUCAGCUUUCCACGGAUAGCAUGUGUAGAUAGCAUUAUACUUUUUAAUAGUUUUGCCAACAUUUCCCUAUUUUGUUUCCGACUAUUAUUUUUCUUGGGUGCAUUGCCUGCUCUCUGAAAAUUCAGUGAGCUUCUAGAGCUGUUGAGAGCCAUCAGCGAGCCAUUAUCCUCUCAGGUAAAGAACAAGGUAGAGAUGUAUCUCUUUGUAUUUUUAGACUUGAAAAAGCCUAUGUCCCAUGAUUAAUGAUGAAGGCCUAUAUCUGAUAACAUAACUUUUUUAAGUUACUGUGCAAAAUUCUGCUUAUUUUACUAACUUCAGUCAUUUAGAUGCUUUCUCAAAUUACUCCAUGCAGGAGGCACCAACAGAGCACUCAUGAGCAAGUUACCUGGUUCCUUUGGCAGUCCUUCAGGUUAAUCUGUUAAUCACCUCAUUUGUUCUUUUGUGAAAUUUUCACUUCUUCAUACGAUCUUUAUAGCUCUAGGGAACCCUGCAUUAUUUGACCCGCUAUUCCCAAAAUUAGCUCAAAGUAACUUAAAAAAAGUUAUGGAGCAAUAAAUGAUGUAUAUCGUCAUCUAGAUGGCGAGCCCUGCAGGUUGGUGGUGGCAUUUUUAGCUUGCCUUAGUUAGUAACAAUUAAAGUUACCAAUGACACCUUGAUGUGCUCUUAGCUGUAUAGAACUACAGAAGUAGCAAUAUGACGUACUCUCACUAAGCUUCAUCUAUCCAUUUCCUCACUGGCGGGCUAUUGAGAUUGCAAGGAAGAAUAAAGUUGAGAGCUCAACAAAAGAAGUGAGGUGAUCAAAGUACAUCUGAGGAGAGGAUAUACCACAUGAUGACUAGGUGCAGAUGACCAAAGUUUAUUUUGGAAGAUAUGUGUGCGAGUCUCAAAAAUGUGCCAAUGCUAUGGCAACGACAAUCGGAUUCUUAAAACAUCUCGAUCUUGUCAUAAUUAAUGAAAAGGUUCGUACCUCUUUGCCUGCUGUCUACUUCAUACACUGUUAAAUUAGAUUACUGGUCUGGAACAUAGUAUGAUAAGAAUUUUGAACUGCAAUAGUUACCUUCCCUGUUUUCAUUCAUUUCACACAUUCAGUCUAAGUUUAACAAUGUUUAUUGAAAGAACAAAACUUGCAGUGUUGCUACCUCCUUAUUUGAUAUGUUGUAAAUGGACAGAUCACAUUCAUAUUCUAGCCCCUAAAUGCAUAUUAUCCCCACAACCGGGGAAAAAAGGAGGAUGAUGCUAGAAUCUUGUGGAUGUGUUUAAGUAAUAUGUUUAGAGAUGAAGUAUAAUGUGCACAAGAUUAUUUUGGUACACAUAUGCACAAAUUUAAUCUCAUGCAAUGGAUCCAAUCUGAGGUGGGAAGUGGGAAUUCCUCCAUCCCACCAAUGCUUCUUUUAAUUUGAUCAAGUCCUAUUAUGCCUAAGAGGCCCAAGUGGGAUGGAGGAAUUUCCACCUCUACCUGGUCCACUCAGAUUGGAUCCAAUACAUGGGAUUGAGUUUGUGCAUAUGUGUACCAAAAUACUCUUGUCCAUCUGGUACUUCCUCAUGUUUAGAUUACAAUUUUCUCUGUGUAUGUGCUUCAUAGUAAUUUUGUUACAUAAAGGGUCCAUAAAAUACGGCGAUAAGUCGAUAAUUUAAUCGAUAAACCGGUAAUUAGCUGUGAGUGCCUAGUGGCUGGACGUUUUUGGCCACCAGUACCAAACCAGCUAUUUGCCAGCAGUUCUAUAAUUGACAAUGCCAACUGAUUAGGAUUCUUUUGGAGUUGGAAUUUGCAAUUUAUUAAAGAAAAAACCACUCUGAACUAAGUAUUACCAGCCAAAACAUUUUCGCUCGCGCGCCGGGGCGCGCGCAAGCCACUAGUCAGCAUAAAACUUGCGAGGUGGCCUGCCCGGAUGGUUUGGUG